CAGCAGCCGCGGUAAUACAGAGGGUGCGAGCGUUAAUCGGAUUUACUGGGCGUAAAGCGUGCGUAGGCGGCUUCUUAAGUCGGAUGUGAAAUCCCUGAGCUUAACUUAGGAAUUGCAUUCGAUACUGGGAAGCUAGAGUAUGGGAGAGGAUGGUAGAAUUCCAGGUGUAGCGGUGAAAUGCGUAGAGAUCUGGAGGAAUACCGAUGGCGAAGGCAGCCAUCUGGCCUAAUACUGACGCUGAGGUACGAAAGCAUGGGGAGCAAACAGGAUUAGAUACCCGCGUAGUCCCUGUCUCUUAUAC
rnacentral:rRNA from 1 species